rnacentral:tRNA from 1 species
UCCCUAGUAGUUGAGUGGCUAAGACUCUGUGCUUCUAGUUCAGGGUGCCUGGGUUUGAUCCCUGGCCAGGGAA